UGGGCGGGCUACAGCCCACAGGGUCACACAGAGUUGGGCAUGACUGAAGUGACUUAGCAGGUAUGCACACAGGUUUGCUCUAGAAAAGGAACCCCAUAUAAAUAUGGGCGAGCUUUCACCUCUGCUCCGAUGUACAAGGAAGCACCUGCUACCCUUGACUUUGGCCUUUUUUUCUUGUUCUGCAUUUCUCCAUGAGCCCUUCUCACCAUCUGACCUACUGUGUUUUAGUAGUUUAUUACUCUUCUCCCUGUCUUAGAAUGUCUCCACCAAGGCGGGGGUUUUGUCUGCUUCUAUCCACUGCUGUAUAUGCAGCACCUAGAAUAGCACCUUCUGCCCUGCAGAUCUUCACUGAAUACUGAUUGUGUUCAUCUACUUCAGUGUGAUUGAAAGACCUUGGUUCACAGAAGAAAAGGAAUGGUCCUGGGGCCUCUUCUAGGGAGAAGGCAGGGGUGAUUGCAGGAGCCACAGCAGUUAUCAGGGCACCAUGAAGACUGCCCUUCCCACCCUGCUAUACUCUAAGUUCUGCCUGGAUACCUAGCUCCUGGACUCUCUAGAUGAUAGCCAGCCACGUACCCAAGGCUCUCCUGUUAACAACCAAAGACAGACUAGGCCAUUCCUCCCUGAAAGUAAACAAAAGGAACAAACAGCUUCAAAUCCCAGCUUUGUUCUCUCUCUUGCUAUGUCGUCCUUUGAUUUGGUGAGGCUGUAACUACAUGUGCCUACAGUUUUUAUGCUGUGGUUUUGGUCCACAGCCAGGAAAGUUUCAUGAGUUUCUAAUGAACACCCUCUCACACCCACUCCAACUCUCUGUCUUCCCCUUUUUUUCUGAUUUAUUUAAUUAUAUUUGGAAAUGCAGGAAAACUGCAUAACCAGGAACUCCAGGAAAACUGCGUAACCCUUAUUCCUUCCAAGGAAUGACUACAGACUUGCUCGAGUGUCCUAUUCUCAAACCAUCUGGGAAACUGAUCACUUCCAAUCAGUAUUACGUAUUCUGGGAUUCUCUACCACAUGGCUGAACCAUCAGUAAAACUCGGUAGUGAGGUGUACACACUGCAACCAGACUAAACAUCAUCUGUCAAGCAAGAUGUUGAACAAAUUAGAGUCAAAAACACCCAACCAUCCAACAACCACUCUUCUAAAGGUCUUAGUUACGCCACUGAUGGCAGUCCACACGCACACCCACCUCCUUAGAAGCAUCCUGAGCGGUAAUUCUUUCACUCUGAAAUGUGUAUCCAUGGCUCUUGUCCAUUAGAACUUAAGCUCUUCAGGGGCACGGGCCUAGUUUCACACAUUUUUACAUCUAUCACACAGUAGAUACAUAACGUGUUUAAAGAAUAGAGAGCCCGUUUAUUUUUCUAGUCAGUGAUUUCCCAUUAGAAGUAAGAGCUCAGCGUGGGUCAAUCAGCAAUCAGAUGCAUUAACACGUCUUUUGUUACCCAAAUGUCCAAUAUUCACUUACAUAACCAACCACUGGCCGCAGGCAUUAGUUUCUGCAACACCACCGCUGCUCCCAGUCAGUAAUGUGUUAAAAAAUCCUUGAGGGCCCCCUGGGGGGACAGGCCUGGAGUCCUCAGGGUCCAGAAGGAGGCAGCCCGGACAUCUCCCAGGUCCUCGUGUCUUGACAGCAGAUGUCUCUCCUGCUCCUGCUCUGGGGCCCUUCCCAGUGAGUGCAGAAAGGCCGCGUGGGUCACCAGUGGUGGCACGGGUGGCACUUAACCCUCACUUAGCCUUUUCAAGACCCUCAUUCUGCUAUGACAUGUUUGCCCUUGCAGCGGCGCCACUGUUUUCAAUUCUAACGUACAUUUCCCUACGAUUACUCAGCCUGGAUUAUUAGCUGUCUCAGAAAGGGCUUGGUCCAAGAGACUGGACGGAGCCUGAGUCAUGGGGCCCUACUGAGCUGGUCUAAUUUCAGGCCGGACGGGAGACUGCAGCCCCAACCGCAAGUGCGGUGUAAUAAGCUCACGGAUCUGUCUUCCUCCCUAAGCACCUCCUCAACCCACUCGAGUCCCUCAGGCCCCAAGGAAGGCGCCUGGCCCGUGGCCCGAGUUUAUCUCAGAACGAACGAUGCAGCCACAGGAGACAUGACAUCUUCAUGUGGAUCCGGCAGUGUCUUAGAAGUCGUACUUCAAGGGGGGUGGGGAGGGGGUGGGGCAACUGCCGGCCCUUCCCUGGAGGCCACGCCCACACUAGGUCUCUGGGGAAUGGAGGGAGAGCUCUUCAACGGCUUACGGAUCUUCUCUUUGUUCUUUAUAAACGCUUAAAGCAAAAUCCUCCCUUAGGCCCUACGCCACCAUCACCAUCUUUUGCCAACUGGAAAUGCCAACAUCUCACGCAGCUUUCCUUCACCAUCCGGCACUGCAGACCAAGCAGCUCAACACUGGCCCCCGCCCUGCCCCGGGCGGCCCCCGCUCCUGGUCCCUCUUCACUGCGGACAAGCUGACUCCUGAACAGUUGGGGGAGCCUCCAGGUUCUGUCCCACUGGCCUCCCCUCCGAUGUCAUUCAUCUCAACUGUUAGCUGAUGCUAAAAAACAAAAAGCCAGAUCUACCUUCCACCCUGUGCUCUCCUUCAUGAGUGUCACAGUUUUCGGUUUUCUUACCCUAGACACCUCGGGUGAAUGCCUACCAGCCUCCAAACAUUAAGUGAGAAACAUGGUCGUGGAAGAGAGAGGUGCGUGGGGACAGUGUCUUCUGGAGCCUGUAACAUGACCAUGCUUGGCCCGUGUCACCCGCUAAGGGAGGAGGUUCCCCCAGAACGGAAUGACUAAGGCUUUUCAGAACAAAGACACAAUGGCUGGGGAUAUAGAAAUCAAGUGCCAAAGUUAAUUACGGGGAAUUCCGUGGUGGCUGAGUAGUUAAGACUUCACCUUCCAAUGCUGGGGGUGCCUGUUCAAUCACUGGUUGGGGAGCUAAGAUGCCAUACGCCUCAUGGCCAAGAAAACCAACCAAACCAAAAAACCCUCCUAUAAAACAGAAGCAGUAUUGUAACAAAUUUGACUUUUAAAAUGGUCCACAUAAAAAAACAAUAAUAAACAUUAAUUAUGGGCCUGCAUAUUGAUAUGAAGCAUGGACUUAGGAAAUUCUGUACUUAAAGGGACUCUGGAACACCUCAAAACUUAAAAUUCGUGUUUUCAGGCAGGGGGAAAAAGUCUCCCUUAAAUAAAAAACUUUAAGAUGUCACAAAAUAUUUUAAAGGAACAUUUUAGGUAUCUACCAUGAAUAUUUAAAAUACAAUUGUCAUUCACUAACAUUACCAUUUUAUUCAAGUGUAUUUUAACACAGAAAAGAACAUCAUUGCAGAAUAAAGGACAAAUACAAGCAGCUUUAAGGGAAGAACUCUGGUUUUUUCCCUCUCAUCACAGAUUAGUGACAAGCAUUGACAGAUGACUACUGGUCCGAGGGUUAUAGGUAUGGGUGCCACUGGUUUACGUUCUGGGUAAGAGGUGAGGGCAAGUUUUCCCAAGGCGUGCUCUAAGUAAAACCUGAGUCUCCUAAGAUUCUCUGAGAAAAGGGUUUCCUGGUCUCAAGUUUGAGAAAUACUGCUGCACCCUAGAGUUUCCUGAUCUCAAUGAUUCACAAUGCUCACAUUGUUAUAAAGGUUCUGAGAAUUGCUUGGUGAAGAAAUCUUUUUAGCUCCAAUCCUGCAAGCAUGUAAGGCUCUGGCCUUCUGACCCAGGAUGAGAGCCCUCUGGAAGUCCUGACCUUUUAUGGUACCCAGAAUGUCAGCAAGUGAAAUCUGCCCCUGGCAGUCCCCCUGGAAACGGAAACGAAGGGGACCGGAGCCACCACCUGAGACUUCAGGUCAACAGGGCAACCUGCCUGAGGUUUCCAGAAUGCAAGGCCAGCCCUACCUACAAAUGGACUGUGAUGCUGGGUACGCUUGGCAGAAUGUUCUCCAUCCUGUACCGAGGAAAACGUGAAAAUAACAAAAGGGCAAGUGCCCUUCGGCUUGAACAGACGUCCACCUAUUGGCAUUGUGGGCUUUGUCCCUAAGCAUUUGGACAGAGGCGAGAGAUGAGAGAUCCCCGUUUACCGCUGCUUCUGUUUAUACUCCCCACCAGCCCCUGAGCAACACAGGAGGCAGCUCUGGGGUUGGGGGAAGGCGGGCAAAUUACAGCAAAGGUGGAGGCUGCCAGCAGAGGACCCAGAGGUGGUACCCUCCCCAGCACGGCAGGAGAAAGACGGCUCUUUAUUUCGGUUCAUGGGAGUUUGUUUCUGGAGUGGAAUGCGAUGCCGGGGGGAUCUUUACCCUGGCAAGCCAACUUCCGUGGCUUAAUAAAAUCAAAUCUGCCAGCAGAACCCCUUUUUCACAGCCAUCUUAUUUGUAUCUCCAAAGCGUGAACAGAUGAAGCAGCCCUCUGGCUGAGCCUGAGGUGCAGAGGGCCUGGAGACCUUCUACCUCCUCUCGCCUGAUAGGUACAGGUGGGGAAAUCAGCCAAGGGCUGGGUAUUUUGAGUGGUGUCCACCAUGGUCAGAGCCCAGUGGGCCCGGGGCUGGGUCAGGAUCCAGGGCUCGGGCUCCUCCAGAUCUAACUAGAUUCUACAAGCUGGGCUGACCCUGGCCUUUCCCCAUGGGUCACAUGCAGAAGUCUGCAGAGCUCCCUUCGACCCCACGGGCAUCCUUCACAGAGUGACUGUGUCCCUUCUAUGGUGAGGGGCCACACUGGGGGACACCAUCCCCUCCUGGAGCAAAGCAGUCUGGCCUCGCUCACUCCAUAUACCAAGGGUGUAUAUGGAGCUUCUGCCUAACACCAGGACUCCGUUUCAUGGAAGCCCUUGGGCCGGCUGUGCCUUAGAGACCUGCCAGGGCAGAACAUCACAUAUGACUAGAAACGGGUUUACCAGCCAGUGGAGCCCCUGUAUCAGGAUGGCAAAGCUGUAUUCCUCGGGGGGCCACUAGCUCAUACUGAAGCUCUUUUAGGACAGAACCAGAGUCUUUUCAAUACUCAUAGCAAUGAAGGGGACAUAGAUCAAACCUUCUCAUGCAGGAAGGCUAAAAACAUGUCUCAUGGGGAAUUUAGGGGGUGCAGAACAAAGAAGGGAGAGAGAGAGGGGGAAAUGUAGGAGGCAGGGGCAGAAGGGAGAGAGGGAGGGUA